CCAGGGCCAGAGGUUCUGAUUCAGUGGCAUUGGGGUGGGGCUGGAAUUUGCAUUUUAAACGAGUGCUGGUGAAGAGAGGAACACGUGCCUGUUUCUGGGGAGCAGAGCAGGGGAUGAACCUGGGAUGUGGUACUGGUUUCAGAUCCUAUUUCUGUUAAAGACCCAUCUGUACUCAGACAUGUUAUAUACGUAUCACUGUUUAAGGAUUGUAUUGUAGUUGUCAUCAGGUAACAAGUGGAUUCCAGUGGUAUUCUGGCAUCCCACCCCUGCUGGCGGCGGUGUAAUGGGUGACAUGCGGUACUGAGUGACAGAUGGCACCCAGACCAGGUUCUUUUCCUGUGCAUGCAAUGGUGACACCCCACCCCCAUGCCCAGAGUUUGCAAAGCCACAGUAACUAUUAGCUGUCAUCUAUUCAGUGGUGCACUGUCACUCCCUUAAAAUAGCUUUUUUCAGACUUAUUUAUUUGAAAGGCAGAGUUAUAGAGGCAGAGAGAGAGGUGUGUUGUAUCUGCUGGUUCAUGCCCCAAAUGGCUGCAACAGCUGGGGCUGGGCCAGGCUGAAGCUGGGAGCCAGGAGUUCCAUCCAGGUCUCCCAUGUGGGUGUAGGGGCCCAAGCACAUGGGCCAUCCUCUGCUGCUUUCCCAGGUAUAUUAGCAGGGAGCCGGUUUGGAAAUAGAGCAGCCAGACCUCACAUUGGCGCUCAUAGGGGAUGCUGGUGUCUCAGGCAGUGGCUCAACCCGCUAUGUCACACUGCCAUCCCCACCUUUAAGCUAUUCUGACUCAUUUAUCUAUCUGUGUCUUAUGGUGAAACGUCUCCGCCAUUAGGUUAGUUCCUUCAUCCUCUGCAGCUUACAAUCAUACAUAAUUUUUCAGGCUAGAGUUCAUGCUGCCCAUUUAUCCCAGCCUCAUUUCAAAGGAAAAAUAAUUUAUCCCUUUUCUUUCCUCCCAAAUCUUAGCUCUGCCCCGACUCCCCACAAAGGAUUGAGACAUGUGUACGUGUUGGGUGUUUAAGCUGUGUACAGAGGAUCUAAAAAACUUGAGUUGUACUUUCUGUUCCCUGUUCACAAUUUAAAAAUCAGAUGACUUUAGGGGAAUAUAGUUAUUAAAACAAUAUUGGGACUCUGAAAUGUCGUCAGCUUCCCGUUGAUGGUUUGCUCCUUUGAAAGCAGCCUGCCAAUGGCCUGGAGCCUUUCCUAGAAACGAGGUUCCUCUCCGUGCACCCGCAGCCCCUGGGGAAGAAGACAGAACUGACCCUUGCCGGCCGGCCAGCGUCUCAGCCACCUUAGCGGAACCUCCGCCAGCCUCGGCCGGAGGCUCGCCGGGUGGCAGCCCAGGCGUGGAGGUGAGGGGUUUCCUGCCCUGGGCCAGGACUCUAAAGGCCAGCUGCCUCUCUGCACACCCUAGGCUGCCUCCCCAGCCACAGAGAGGGUGUGAAACAGCUGUUGGCUCCUGACUUGAGCUCAGGAACUUAAAGACCAUCAUUGCUGUUCUUACACCGAAACCUCAGAAUGUUUUGUCACGAAAACAUGAUGGGAAGCCUUGGAAUUGUUCAACAAGUAUCAACUGAGCCUCAGCUCUGUUUGAGGUACCAAAUCAGGACCCCACCCUUCUGGGGACUCCUCUCCCCAACCUUGCUUUUUCUGUUGUCAGUGUGUUGCUGCGAGCUUUUCUUUUAGAUUAAAAGCCCCCAUGGGUUUGUGCACUGAUGACACGAAUCAGCUUGUGUCUUGCAGUUGCUGGCCUUGUCCCCGUCCCUGUGCUGGGCUGUGUCCCCUGAGUGGCCAGGCCAGAGCUCUCUGGGGCAUUGCUCAGUGUGCUCAGUCAGGGCGCCUCGCUCACCCUCGGAGGCCUCCCCAGGGGCUAAGGAAAGAGCCCAGUGUCCCUGCAGAGAUGGGCUGGGGGACGUCAAAAGCCUGGGACCUGGUCCCAGACCCACUGUGUGACCUUAGGUUUAGUUUCCCCACCAGUAACCAGAGAAGGUUUGACUCAGUAUCGGCUGCAUUUCCUUCCUGUUCUAAGGGACUGUCACUUCGUUUCCCUUUGAGCAAAAAGGCAGAGGUGCUGGGGCCAGCAGAUGGACAGGGAGGGGGGGCAGGUGCAGGGCCCCAGUUUCACAGCAUCACCUGCCAUUCAAAGGUAGACUUGCUCCAGUCACACUGGGGUUCUGCCUUUCCUUUCCUGCACACACUAUCAGGGAAAGCACAUGAAUUUAUUUUAAAGGUUUUAAAAAUUAUUUUAUUUUCAUUGCCAUUGUAUUUGAAAGAUAGGCGGAGCGAGGCAGAGAUCUUCCAGCUGCUGGUUCCCUCCCCAGAUGCCCACAGUCAAGCCAAAGCCAGAAGCCCUCCACCUGGGUCUCCUACAUAGGUGGUAGGGGUCCAAGUACUUGAGCCAUCAUCUGCCUCCCAGGUGCAUUAGCAGGCAGCUGGAUUGGAAGCAGAAUAGGGAUUCACACCAGGGACUCUGAUGGAGGUGUGGAUGACUGAAGCAUUGUCUCAACUGUGUGCCAAACACCCACUCCCAGUACGUGAAUUUAAAAAAUGGGAGAUUAUCCACUUUGGAAAAAAAUUAAGAUUUUUAAACAGCUUUAUUUACUAACAGAGAUGAAAAGAGAGAAAGAGAGAGAGGUCUUGCAUCCAUUGGUUUACUCCCCAAAUGGCCACAACGGCCAGGGCUGGCCCAGGCUAGAGCCAGGAGCCAAAACUCCCCUCCAGAUGUCCCACAUGGUUGGCAGGGGCCCCAGUACUUGGCCCAUUUUUGCUGCUGGUAUCACAAGCAGUGGCCUAACGCGCUGUUCUGCAGUAGCAGCCCUGAGCUGAAGGUCCUUACGGAAAGAUUGGGACUGACUGGGCAUCGGUUAGAAGAUGCCUGAGUGGGCCAGGGAAUAGGGAAUUACAGCUUUCAAAUGGAAUGUUGAGGAAGAAUCCACUAGCCCUCCUCACAUUGUAGAGACAGAAAUGGAGUGCAGAGUUUGGAGGACUCGAUGGGGUCACAGGGUUGGUGGCACAGAGGCGCAGACCCCACUGUCCUCCGUGUAGCCUGUGGAUACGGAGCAGUGCCUGAAGAGGGGCUUCCCGCGGAUGCACAGGAGGACCCCAGGGCGCAGAACUUCAGGCCGUUGGAAGCACUUGGGCUCUUGCCAGUUAAAGUAGCCAAGAGAAUCUCAUUUGAAUCUGGGAAACGCAGGAGGCCAUUCGCCAUAUUCUAAAGCAUUUUCGCCCUUUUAGGUAAAUGGAAAUUAGCAAACUAUAACUUAUUUUUAUUUGACAGAGAUAGUGAGAGAGAGAGACAGAGAGAAAGGUCUUCCUUCUGUUGGUUCACCCCCCAAAUGGCCUCUAUGGUCCAAGCUACGCCCAUCCGAAGCCAGGAGCCGGGUGCUUCCUCCUGGUCUCCCAUGCAGGUGCAGGGCCCAAGCACUUGGGCCAUCCUCCUCUGCCCUCCUGGGCCACAGCAGAGAGCUGGCCUGGAAGAGGGGCAACCGGGACGAGAACCAGUGCUCAUAUGGGAUGCCAGCACCACAGGCGGAGGAUUAACCUAGUGUGCCAUGGUGCCGGUCCCAACUGUAACUUAGUUUUGAGAGGAAAUGAGACAUAUACUCCAGGAAUAUAUGAAGAGCAAGACCCAGCCAGCACCCCCUGCCCAUCCCCAUGUUGCUGGCCACUGCCGUGUGUGUUUGUCCCAGCAUAUGCAUUCCGAAGGCUGUUGUCCUGGAAGUGCAUCCGGGAUUAUUGUGGUAAUGGAGUGAAGGCAGGUCUUGUGCAAGGUGAGACAGAUUCGAGCUGUCACUUCCUGCGAUGUGAGUUGGAUAGUGGUCCUAGGCCCUGUUUGAUUUGUGGUGUUCUUCCUUUCAUAUAUUAGAACAGCUUAUAGCUCUUGAUGGAGUUGAUGACAGUUAGAUACUAAGACCACCCGCUCAGUGAAAACAAAGUUGAACGUAUUACCCAGGCCAGGGAGUCCUGCCUUCAGACCCAGGCCUGGCAACCUGCCAUGCGCCCUGGUGUGGGCGUGCAGCUUAGAGCAGUGCUGGGCUCCUACGCCUGAGUGAGGACUGUCUUAUACAAAAGCUGCUCGGUGUUCUGGUCUGUCCCUGCUGUGUAAAGCUACUUGCUCUGAUCUGCCAGUCCCUGCCAUGAGCUCAGAGAGCGGGUUUCUCAGGGUCCCCAGGCUGUGUGUGUGAUGCGGGACAGUCGCCAGAGUCGUGGGGGCUCCUGAGUGCCUGUUGCCCCGCUGGGCCGUCGGUGGUGUGUUCAGUCCUUCCCUUGGGUUAACGGAAGCUCCACCUUUGCUUUGACGGGAGAGGAUGGCAGAGGCACUUGGAGGAAGCGGGAGCACUUGGACUUGGGAAGGCAGCUGGUCAGCACUGACACGAAGCCUGGUAGGCUUCCCUCCGCUAGUGGAGAGCUGUCAGACCCUGAGUGCUGUACCAACGGGGGCCAAACCAGGCAGAAAAAACCCCGACCUUGACCUUUUACGACAUUUUCUGUCGAGGCUAGAGAUGCUGGAGUGCCUUUAGCCGUCGCUCGCUGUGAUUUGACGUUGUGCACCAUAAAUUACUCGGGUGACACAUUUUUUCCUAAAUGGAAAUCGUGCUGUUUUGUUGCAUGUUUGGUAUUCUGCGUGUGUGUGUGUGUGUGUGUGUGUGUGUAUGUUUGACAUGUUUGGGAAACCAGUUCAUUUCAAUGAUCUAUAUUAAGACUUCCUUUCUUAUUCAUAAUGAGCUUCUGAUAAGGUGACUUGUGCGUCUGUCUGUUUUAGGAAAUAGUGUUCUAGGUGUGCUGUUUGUUUUUCUUUUGUGAAGUUGAAACGGGGGUCUUACCUCCGAUCCCAGCCCCUGCCUUACAGGAGCAAACGGCCUCUUUCUCACCCGCCCUGUCGUCCCCUGCUUGGGGAGAAUAAUGGAAGCGCUGGCGAUUAGUCAUUGUGAGAUCAGCACACACAGACUUGGGAGGACCUGAGCUGUGCUCAGGUUGUCUGUGUCCCUCGACGAAUCCCCUUGUGGCAGGUGGGGGCCCCAGGGUGCCCUGCUUGUCAUGUGCAGGUUGCUAAAGGCCGGAGGCCAUUUUCUGUGAGGCCGAGGCCCGGGCGCAACCCCUCCCACGGUGGAAUCUGUGAGCAUUUGUUUUCUAAAAUGAAAGCACAAGCAGAAACCCGAGCUGCUGCCCGGGACGGCCUGUUCUCUGGAUUGUUCUCUAAGAUCAGUAUAUUUAAAGCAUCAUUUUUCUAAACAGCAGAUUGUGGGGCUUGUAUCUGCAGGGGCUUGGGGAGUUUACUCUUUUAAAAUACGGACAGCUUAAGUGUUGAGGUCACAGCUCUCCCCCCCACCAACCCAGAUAAAUCCACUGUGAAACAGGUGAGCUGAGGUUUAGACACCUGGCUACCGCCAGCGGCCUCCGUGCUGUUUCAGUUAAGUAUCUUUUGGUGUGAAAGUGGCAAAAGCCAACAGGAACUUAGUUCUUUCAACAUCCUUCUUCCUCCCAUUCCCCAACGAUUUUUCCCUGUCGAUUCCCUCCGUCUCUGCUGUGGCGCCUUCUCUGUGUAGCAUUUCCAAGGUUGGAGCCCCCCCGCCCCCAAGGCCUCUACCGUCACCUCCAGCCUUCCCCAGGGCCUGCUGCACCGCUCCUCCGCCCAGCCCUGCAGCUCCUGAGCCGCAGGAAGAGGCGACUGGCACCGAGAUGUGUGCUGCGCCUGGCGUCCCUCCAGGGACCCCGUGUUGCCAGCAACGGCUUCAAACGGGAAACAUGGGAGGAGGAACUGUGGCAAAUGGAGAAGGAAAUGCGUGUGCAGGCAGAGUGUUGCAUGGACUCCAGUCACCGUUGAGGAGCCUGGCGGCCCGAUCUCCAUGCAUUGGUAUUCUUGGGAGUGUCCCAGGAGGGCAGGUGGAGGCCGGGCAGAGGGGCAGGAGCCGGGGCAGCCUUCUUCCCCGAGGGGCCAUGCAGACAGCCCUGCAGACGGAAGGCGUCCCCCUGCCAUCUCUAGAGCAGGGAUUGGCUUCCGGGGGUCGGCCACCGCUGUUCCACGGGGCGGUUCUGAAGGCUCCACGAGGGUGGUUGUGACCCUGCUCCAUGUGCUUUGUUGUGCUGAGUCCAGGCUCCGUUUCUAUGAUCAGUAUAUAUAUUUUUAAAGAUUUAUUUUAUUUUUUUAUUUAUUUGAAAGGCAUAAUUAGAGUGAGACAGACAGAGAUCUUCCAUCCUCUGGUUCACUCCCCAGAUGGCUGCUACAGCCAGGGCUGGGUCAGGCUGAAGUUAAGAGCCAGGAACUCCAUUUGGGUCUCCCAUGUGGGUGCAGGGGCCCAGGCACUUGCACUGUCUUCCAGUGCUCUCCCUGGCAUAUUAACAGGGAGCUGCACUGGAAGUAGAACAGCUGGGACUCAAACCAUAUGGGAUGCUGGUGUCACAGGCGGUGGCUUAACCUGCUGUGCCACAAUGCUGGCCCCAUAUGAUCUGUACUUUCUUUUAAAAAAAAAUUUACUUAUUUACUUGAAAAACAGAGAGGCAGAGGCAAAGAGAGAGAGAGAAAGAGAGAGAGAGAGAGAGAGAGAGAUCUUCCAUCUGCUGGUUCACUCCCCAAACAGCCACAACAGCUGGAGCUGCACCGAUCUGAAGCCAGGAGCUUCUUCCAGGUCUCCCACACAAGUGCAGGGGCCCAGGACUUGGGCCAUCUUCCACUGCUUUCCCAGGCUAUAGCGGAGAGCUGGCUUGGAAGUGGAGUAGCCGGGACUUGAACUAGUGCCCAUAUGGGAUGCUGCUACACAUAGCGCUGGCCCUGAGGACCUGUGUGUUCACAGGUGUUGUAUUUGCAUGACCCAGCGAUGAGCCAUGAUGUGCACUCAGCACUGAGAGCCAGCAAGGAGCCACCGAUGAAGGCCGGCAGGUUGCUCAGCAGUUGCUUCCUGCCUGGUUACAACAGCUGCCUGUGAUGACGAGGAGGAGAGCUGGUGCCCCCAGUGGUGGAUCUAGUAUCACCAAGUGUUGAUUAGCAGUCGAGUCACCCCUUGCUGAAGCUUAAAGAGACCCCACCACUAAAGUAUAGGGUGGAGCGAAGGCAGACAGUUGCUAUCUGCCGUUCUGCCUCCCAGGACACAGGUAUUGCGAAGCUUGCGCCAUGGGAAUGGGCAAAGUGCAGGGUUCCUGAAGACACAGGAAGUCACCCCCGUGUAUCCCAUGCCGACGCUUCCCCACCUGUCCUUUCUUGAGAGGCGCACUGGGGGAGUUUUGAGAGCCUGAAUACUGACAUCUCAUCAUUUAAGUCUCAGGAGGACAAUGCCUCCGUGAAAGAGGCUGAAGUUUGCUAGGCAGAACAAAAUCUGUAAGUGAUUUAUGCUUAUGUAAAUUUGGGUACAGAGGUAGCAAGGUGCUAAGGACCUGAACCGCGGGCCGGGUGUAGGACGAUAGGAAACGGUUAGACUGCGAUACGCCGGAGGGCACGGAACUUUGCAGAACACUGUGGGAACCUAUAGAAACCACACCACAGAUGCAGCAUGCCCAGGGGCGGCUACUUGCACCUUCUGACCCAGGCCACCAGGCUGGAGCACCUCCCUGGCCACCCGUCCAGUCUUCUGUAGAGCCCUGGACUUGAAGCUCCCCAAGGCCCAACCCAGGGGAAAGUAACGGCCACUGAGCCGCCUCUGUGGCACAGCAAAUCAGCCCUCAGUCCUCGCACCUGCAAAGUCAGUAGUGUGCAGCAGGGUCAGCCGUGGAACACAGCGUGUAGGUCCAGGGACGUCGUGAGGGCAUCAGGCAUAGUGGCAGCCCUCAUGGAGUGGCCCAGGCAUGCGGUAACCCAUCCCAGGCUGAAGCAGGAAGAGCCAGUAGAGGAAGGCCUGCCUCAUCUGAGCAUGUCACUCUGACAGCAGCCCGAUGGGACCACGCCCACAGGGGCUCACGUGGGUGGCAUCAGGCAGCAGAGGUCAGCCAGCAAGUCCUAAGCCCCUGGCCCCUGGGAUUGGCCUCUCUGUCCCAUGGAUGUUUUCCAAAAUACCGAGCAGCUAGCAACUUCCCAUCGAGCCCCAGACUGAGAGGAGGUGAAGACUGUCCCCCGCUCUCCCCUGACACCUACUGACCUUCUGCUCACCCUGGAAUUCACGACGCCUUCCCCUUUUUCUAAACAACUUUAACCACUCCCGCCUCCCUCCUGGUGCUGAGUCAUCAUUUCUGUGAAGCCCUUUGCACGGGGCCUGGUGUGGAGACGGUGCUCAGUAAGUGCUGGCUUUGGUCAUCAUCGGCUCCUUGCUGUCCCCGUUCCAGCUGUGAUCAUUCGCCCAGAGGGGCCGGAACUUGGUCUCCUUCACCUGGGUUUGAACCCCAGCUGUGUCGUCAGGAGUACCGCAGCUGUCUCCAUCCUGGCCUCCGUGAACAGGGACCAUAAAUGCAAGAUCCUUUUCUCCAAUCCGUCCUCUUCCCUUCCCCCCCCACCCCCGCCCCGUUUCGAUUGUAAGAGUUAGGCUUUUCCCGAAGCUCUGGACAUGAAUGAAGAGGCAUUCCUGCUGUUGCCAAGCGAGGUUCUAGGGUUUAUGUUGUGCGGGGUGGAACCACACUGGUGAUUUCUGCAGGGUGGGAUCAUUCCAGGAUGACUUAACCAAGGGAAAGCCGUCAGACACCGCUGCAGCGGAGCAGGGGCCUGGCAGCGUGGAUGUCACCUGGCAGCCUGUUGGCAGGUGCAGAGCCUCGGCCUCACCUCAGACCCCCCUCCUCCCCGUGCCAGCAAAUGCACCUAGAAAGAUCCCCAGCUGAGUGGUGCACGUUCAUGUUUGGAGAGCCCUGUUCUGGACACAGUAACAAAACACCGACUCGUCCCUGGCCUGGGCUGUACCAGACUGUGACCUUGCUAGCCAUUAGAUGCUGGGGCACGGGUUUAGAGGGUGCAGGCUGCAGGUUGUGACUUAAACGCCACAGUAGAAAUGUGUGAUAGGGCGACUUUGACCAUGGUAACACUCUGUUUAGAAGACUGCUGUGGCCUCCUGGCUGUGCCCUUUUUUUAAAAAUGAUUUUAUUUAUUUAUUUGACAGGUAGAGUUAUAGACAGUGAGAAGGAGUGAGACAGAGAGAGAGAGAGAUCUUCCAUCUGCUGGUUCAUUCCCCAAAUGGCUGCAAUGGCCGGAACUGAGUCAGUCCGAAGCCAGGAGACAAGAGCAUCCUCAGGGUCUCCCACGUGGGUGCAGGGGCCCAAGCGCUUGGCCCAUCUUCUGCUGCUUUCCCAGGCCAUAGCAGAGAGCUGGAUGAGAAGUGGAGCUGCCAGGACUAGAACCGGCGCCCCUAUGGAAUGCCGACGCCUCAGGAGGAGGAUUAACCUACUGUGCCACAGUGCCGGCCCCUGUGCCUUUGACCUUAACAUGGCACCUUGUUCCCUUCCACUCGCUCCAACCCCCCCACCCCACCCCAUGACCUUCGGGUCUUGGAAACCCUGUUGCCAAGAAGGGAAAUUCCUGUGCUCAGGGACAGACAGCCCUUGUGUGCCAGGGAACUGACGCAGGACUCUAAGGGUGGAACGGGCCUCCGCGUGGGGGCGAGGAGUGACGCACUCUCGGGGAGGAUUUGUGGGGUCCCGGUGGGCUGUGGGAGAGGAGUCGUCGCCUCCCUUCCCCGCUGUCAGUGACCGAGAGCGCAGCCUGCUCCUUAGGAAGUGUUCCCUGCUGCCGCGGCGACUGUUGUCCGGGCUGGAAGCUACAGAAUGGCGAGGAGCCAAGGACCACGGUGUCGUAGGAAGUUCUAGCCUCACGUAAAACCUAGGUCAGAAAACGCAUUCAACUAAAGCCCUUUCAGCCCUUAAAGCUCUUGCCUACGUUUUGAAAGCGGCGUGGCCUGGCUUGUCAGUAACUGCCCACUGCGAUGACAGUCAUGUCCCUUUCCAGGGACCUCAAGGACGACCUGCACAGCGACACGGUGCUGUCCAUCCUGAACGAGCAGCGCAUCCGGGGCAUCCUGUGUGACGUCACCAUCAUCGUGGAAGACACCAAGUUCAAGGCGCACAGCAAUGUGCUGGCCGCCUCAAGCCUUUAUUUCAAGAACAUCUUCUGGAGCCACACCAUCUGCAUUUCCAGUCACGUCCUGGAGCUGGACGACCUCAAGGCCGAAGUGUUUACAGAAAUCCUUAACUAUAUCUACAGCUCCACGGUCGUCGUCAAGAGACAGGAAACCGUCACCGACCUCGCAGCUGCUGGGAAGAAGCUGGGAAUCUCCUUCCUGGAAGACCUCACCGAUCGCAGCUUCUCGAGUUCCCCGGGCCCCUACGUCUUCUGCAUUACGGAAAAGGGCGUGGUUAAGGAGGAGAAAAAUGACAAAAGGCACGAGGAACCAGCGGUCACCAGCGGGCCCAGGAUCACAAACGCAUUUUCCAUCAUCGAGACGGAAAAUAGCAACAACAUGUUUUCUCCCCUGGACCUCAGGGCGAGUUUCAAAAAGGUCUCGGAGUCCAUGAGGACAGCCAGCCUGUGCCUGGAGCGGGCUGACGCCUGCCACGAGGCAGAGCCCGUGCGCACGCUCGCCGAGCACUCGUACGCCGUGUCCUCCAUAGCCGAGGCCUACAGAGGCCAGCCUGCCCACGAACCCCAGAGCGCCUCGCCUGGCAGAACGGCCAAGGAGAACGGCGAGGCGCCUGGGGGCAAGCCCAAGCCGUGUCGGAAGCCCAAGCCAUUCUCCCUGGCCCCAGACCCCGAGUCAUCCACAGCGAACGUCCCACCCCCCGCCACAGCCAGCCUGGAGGUUACCCAGGAGCAGAGCCCGCAGCCCCCUGCGGUUCUCCCUCCCUCGACAUCUCCCGGCCACCACGAAGGGAGUGGCCAUUUUUCCAGGGAAGAGGAGAACCAACCCCCGGCCGCCCCUGGGCCGCCGGCGGCCGAGGUGCCCCCUCUCGUCUACAACUGCAGCUGUUGCUCCAAAUCAUUUGAGAGCAGCACUCUGCUCAGCGCCCACAUGCAGCUGCACAAGCCCACGCAGGAGCCGUUAGUGUGCAAGUACUGCAACAAGCAGUUCACCACCCUGAACAGGCUGGAUCGACACGAGCAGAUCUGCAUGCGGUCCAGCCACAUGCCCGUGCCCGGCGGAAACCAGCGCUUCCUGGAGAACUACCCUACCAUCGGACAGAAUGGCGGCGCGUUCCCAGGCCCCGAGCCUCUAUUACCCGAAAACAGGAUGGGUGAGUUUGCCAGUCCCGGAAGCACCCUGCCCGACACGGACCACAUGGUAAAGUUUGUCAACGGGCAAAUGCUCUACAGCUGCGUCGUGUGCAAACGUAGCUACGUGACUCUGUCCAGCCUCCGAAGACACGCGAAUGUCCACUCGUGGAGAAGAACGUAUCCCUGCCAUUACUGCAACAAAGUGUUUGCGCUGGCGGAGUACCGGACGAGACAUGAGAUCUGGCACACGGGAGAAAGGCGGUACCAGUGCAUCUUCUGCCUGGAGACAUUCAUGACCUACUACAUACUCAAGAACCACCAAAAGUCUUUCCACGCCAUAGACCACAGACUCUCCAUCAGUAAGAAGACCGCCAACGGUGGCCUGAAGCCUAGCGUCUACCCGUACAAGCUCUACAGGUUGCUGCCGAUGAAGUGCAAGAGGGCUCCUUAUAAGAGCUAUCGACAUGCUUCCUACCAGAAUGCUCGAGAAAGCAGUCAAGUGAGACAGUCGGCACCCGGGACCUACGUCGUGCCAAACCCACACAGCUCCGAAUUACCCAGCCUGAGUUUCCAGGGCAGUGUCAGUGCCUUGACCAGCAGUCCGGCCGUGCCCUUGGAGACAUGCGCCCGGCAGGACACGCCCACUGCUGCCAGUGUGCAGAACGCAGAGGGCACCAGAUGGCGAGAGGAGACCAUGAAGGUCGAUGUUGACAAUAACUUCUACUCGGGCGAGGUGUCGGUUCCUUCCACCGACAGCGCCGUCAGCUCUAACCCCCAGGCAGGCAACGCACCUGUCUUACCUCUGAGUGGCAGCAGUGAGAACGCAGCCUCCGUGAUCAGCUACGGCGGCUCGGCACCCUCGGUCAUCGUGCACAGCAGCCAGUUCUCGUCGGUGAUCGUGCACAGCAACGCUGUCGCCGCCGCCACGACCAGCAGCAGCCAGCAGGCCCCUGCCAACCCGGCCACCGAGCAGCCCUCGAAGGAGGACAGCAAAGCUGAGCCGGACAAAGGGAGUCGAUUGGCAGGCAGACCCAAAAGCUUGAAGGAGAAAAAGAAAGCUGUAGCUUGUAACAAAGGAGAGACCCCAGAGGAGUCCAAACACGUGGUUGAUCCUGGAGGGGCCCCGAGCAAAGCCCCCAGUGCCGCCGAGGAAACCAGUAAAAUUGAGACCUACAUUGCAAAGCCUGCCCUGCCGGGCACCUCCACGAACAGCAAUGUUGCACCCCUUUGCCAAAUAACAGUGAAAAUUGGGAAUGAAGCCAUCGUGAAAAGGCACAUCCUUGGGUCUAAAUUGUUUUACAAAAGAGGAAGAAGAUCCAAGUGUCAGAUGCAGGAGGAGCCGUUGCCACAGGAGAGUGACCCGGAGACCCACGCGGACAACCCUCUGGGGCUCUGCCAAUCCGAGUGCGUGGAGAUGAGCGAGGUGUACGAUGAUGCAAGUGACCAGGAUUCCACCGACAAACCGUGGCGCCCUUAUUACAACUACAAACCCAAAAAGAAGUCCAGACAGUUGAGAAAAAUGAGGAAAGUCAACUGGAGGAGAGAACACGGAAGCAGGAGCCCAAGCAGCAGGUGCAAAUUCCCCGCAGAGCUGGACUGUGCCGUGGGGAAGGCUCCUGCAGACAAGGCCUUGGAGGAGGAGGAAAACAAAGAGAUGCCCAAGCUGCAGUGUGAACUCUGCGACGGAGACAAAGCGUCAGGGGCUGCGGCCCAAGGGAGGCCCCACCGGCACCUCACGUCCAGGCCUUACGUCUGCGAGUUCUGCGCCAAGCAGUUCCAGAGCCCUUCCACGCUCAAGAUGCACAUGAGAUGCCACACCGGGGAGAAGCCCUACCAGUGCAAGACCUGCGGGCGGUGCUUCUCGGUGCAAGGGAACUUGCAGAAACACGAGCGCAUCCACCUGGGCGUGAAGGAGUUCAUCUGCCAGUACUGCAACAAGGCCUUCACCCUGAACGAGACCCUCAAAAUCCACGAGCGAAUCCACACCGGCGAAAAGCGCUACCACUGUCAGUUCUGCUUCCAGAGCUUCCUGUACCUCUCCACGAAAAGGAACCACGAGCAGAGGCACAUCCGGGAGCACAACGGGAAAGGCUUCGCCUGCUUCCAGUGCCCGAAAAUCUGCAAGACCGCCGCCGCCCUGGGAAUGCACCAAAAGAAACACUUAUUCAAGAGCCCGAGUCAGCAGGAGAAAACAGGCGACCUGUGCCACGAGAACUCAGAUUCCUUGGAGAAUCAGCACUGCAUUGAUUCGGCAGAGGACAAUGACCAAAAGGAUCGUGUACAAACCGCUGUCGGAAAUGUUGUCCUUUGAGUGGCAAUAGUUAGAAAAAUCUUCUGAUAAAUAAAUCGCUAGGGUUUUUUUUUUUUUUCCUUUUAGCUUUUUUUUUUUUUUUUUCAGGUUUAGUUUUGUUUUGUUCACAUAACAGUCAUGAAGGAGUGAAGCGUAAAACAAACCAACAAACAAAAAGUCAUUGGUGAAAAAUUCCCGGAAAAGGAUCCUAACGUCUACUUCGGGUUUUAGCGUUAACUUCCUGCCAAGUGCGGAAAGACAAAAUAGCUGAAUCCUCCAAUAGUCCAAGUAUCUUGUGAAAGUUAAUGAAGUUCUUAGCUGUUGGUAUUUCUACCAGUGGGGGCAAAAAAAAAAAAAGGAGCUUAAUUUUAGGCUAAUUUAGAAACUUUUUGGUAAAUGCUAAUGGGAACUGGCUGCUGAACUGUCUUGAGUCACUGGAGAAAAAUAAGGGUCAGACGCCAUGGAGAUGGCCUCUUCCAGGUGUCAGGUGGUAAAUGAGCUGUGACAGUCUUCAUCCCCAUCCACCUCCCGCACUCCUAAAACGUGUUCACGUUAACAGACACACGUGAAAAUGCUUCACAGUGUAACUGAAAAUACGUGUAUACAGAGUAACCUGAAACAGAACACUCACGCAUCUUCUAGAACUACUUGUCCGCCACACAGACCUUGUAAAAUACAUAUAUACGUCACGGUAACUUUUACCUGUCCAUAGUCCCUGUAGAAAAUCACCGUGAGCAAUAGAUCUGCAGCGAAUGAGGGCUGACAUGGAAAUCAGCAGAGAGCAUUUUGAUCACAACUUAAGAGCAUGCGUGUGCCACUCACUGGGAGCCGUGGCUGAGCUGUUAGUAGAACUGAUGCCCUGAAGUCACAGAAGACACAGGUCAUCACGCCUUAUCUACGAGCGAAAGCCCUCCCGGAGCAUCCCUGUGCGUCCCUGGGCCGUGUGUCACUUUGCAGUGGCCUCACUCGGAGAAUGAAGAAGGCGCCCGUUCUUCUGAAACCCUCUGCAGUCUUCCAGCCAUCCUGAGGCCAUGGGCCCGGGGCUCUGUUCCAGACGGACUUAACAGUUCAAGUCAAACUCCACGAAAGGAGCGUCCUGGAGAUUUAGCGCCAGGCACACGUGCGGUACUUGCAAGUGACAGAACGCCUGAGCCCUACAGUUGCUCGCCUGCUUGGAGACGAUGCAGCUGCCAAGUCCAUCCUAAUAGAAAGCAAAAGGACAGCCAGCACCCCCACACAACCCCACCUAUUAAUGGCUUGAAUGCGCAAGAAGGAGUAAUGACCUUCUUUGCUCAAACAGUACCUUGUUUUGCAGGGUGGGGAGGGAGGCCGGGGUCCUGUCGGUUACUUCUGUCGCUCAGAAAUGCACCCACAAAGCCCAUUGUUUUGUCUUCAUAUGUGCAGGCCUCUGGCCCCCUCGAUGAAAACCUUCUUGAGUUUUUCAUUGUUCUUUCUCACAAACCCACACCAUCAACAUUGCCCUCAGUCCAUUUGCCCUGCAGGAUAUUCCAUCCUGUGGGCCAGGUUCCUGGAAAGCUGGAACUCACGAUUCUUGUUUUUCAACACCGCCAGAACAGGAGGAAGAGAGCAGACGUUGCUACUGUGUGAUCACCGGUAGGAGCAGAAUUCGGAAUCCAGCGUAAGGGUGACGUGCAGCCAUGCUUGUUCAUUGGAUUUGAUAGCUGGGAAGCCCAGGUCAUCCGAAGUUGGAAGAUUAUCCUCAUGAAGAGGUAGCUCAAGAGACUCCAGUUUCUGUCUACAAGCAUUGUGAUGCCUCCACGAAGAAGACUUAGUAUGGAUUUGAGUGGGCAAGAAUGCAUCUGAACACCCAGAAGAGGACAUGGUUAAGCUUGACCUUUUUAUACUCUAGUACUUUGCCGUUAAGUAACCCCGGUAUUGUAUCUGCAUUUAUCUUUUGUUCAUCUAGUUUCACUUACAUACAGUAUUAUAUAGUAGAGGAAAGUGGGAAAAUGCAAGUGAAUUUAACUUUAUUUUAUACAUUGUAUAUAUUGUAUACCUGCACCAUCCGUUUGGGUUUUGUUAAAGAGAUAGUCGCAAAGGGCUUAUGAAAAUCAUUUUUGAAUUGAUAAUUAGAAUAUUGAAUAAGCAGUCCAAUAUUAAACUAAUUUGUUUAAUCUCAGUUAGGGUUAUGAAUCAAGGAAAAUUACUGUGUAUGUUAGUCAUUCUGAUCUAACUCCAAAUAUGAAAUAUGACACUGUAGUGAUGUCUCUCGGCCCUUACAUGUGGACAUUUUUUAAGUGGACUUGUAUGCUGAUAAUUCUAGACCAAAGUAAAUAUGGCAGAAUAUUUAUACAUGAAAAAAAAUAAUUUUGCAAAUAUUUUCUAUAAUUGUACUAUUCGUUUAAAAUGUUGAUGGCUUGUGUUAGUUUCAGGGAGGGGUGUAUAUUUUGAUAAAAAAAUACUUGACUUUGUAAUUCUGUAUAUUCUAUACAAUUUAUAGCAGAGCCGUUUUAAAACAGCCUUGUCCCAUUUUUUGUUAAUUGUGAAAAUUUUAUGAUGAGUGAUGUUGAAGUCUGCAUCGAGUACAUAAUGACCAACUAGAAUUAAGUCAGUGUAAACAGUGGACGUACUGUAUGCCGUACAAGAUAUAUUGUAAUUGCUGUUUUAGCAUCUGUAUUUUGGUUAGAAGAUAUUAUUAAAUGCAGAUGUUAAGGGUUGGAAAAGUCUAAUUUUAUUUUUAGAAAUAAUGAAUAUAAAUUUGUUUUUGCUUGAUUAAAAUAGCUUAUUCCUACACCAA